rnacentral:rRNA from 1 species
GAUGAACGCUGGCGGCGUGCUUAACACAUGCAAGUCGAACGAUGAAGCCCAGCUUGCUGGGUGGAUUAGUGGCGAACGGGUGAGUAACACGUGAGUAACCUGCCCUUAACUCUGGGAUAAGCCUGGGAAACUGGGUCUAAUACCGGAUAGGAGCGUCCACCGCAUGGUGGGUGUUGGAAAGAUUUAUCGGUUUUGGAUGGACUCGCGGCCUAUCAGCUUGUUGGUGAGGUAGUGGCUCACCAAGGCGACGACGGGUAGCCGGCCUGAGAGGGUGACCGGCCACACUGGGACUGAGACACGGCCCAGACUCCUACGGGAGGCAGCAGCGGGGAAUAUUGCACAAUGGGCGCAAGCCUGAUGCAGCGACGCCGCGUGAGGGAUGACGGCCUUCGGGUUGUAAACCUCUUUCAGUAGGGAAGAAGCGAAAGUGACGGUACCUGCAGAAGAAGCACCGGCUAACUACGUGCCAGCCGCCGCAGUAAGAC